rnacentral:rRNA from 1 species
AGUUUGAUCAUGGCUCAGAUUGAACGCUGGCGGCAUGCUUUACACAUGCAAGUCGAACGGCAGCGGGGGCUUCGGUCCGCCGGCGAGUGGCGAACGGGUGAGUAAUGCAUCGGAACGUACCCAGUCGUGGGGGAUAACGCAGCGAAAGCUGUGCUAAUACCGCAUACGUCCUGAGGGAGAAAGCGGGGGACCUUCGGGCCUCGCGCGAUUGGAGCGGCCGAUGUCGGAUUAGCUAGUUGGUGGGGUAAAGGCUCACCAAGGCGACAAUCCGUAGCUGGUCUGAGAGGAUGAUCAGCCACACUGGGACUGAGACACGGCCCAGACUCCUACGGGAGGCAGCAGUGGGGAAUUUUGGACAAUGGGGGCAACCCUGAUCCAGCCAUGCCGCGUGAGUGAAGAAGGCCUUCGGGUUGUAAAGCUCUUUCAGUCGGGAAGAAACGGAGCGCUCUAACAUAGCGCUCUACUGACGGUACCGACA